GAAGCCCACACGUGUGUGCGCAGCUUUGGGCUAGGCCUGCACACGCGGCCUUUAGGCCUCGUAGGUCCGCGGCUUGUGCAGUUUCCUCCUCAGAUGUUGUUGGGCUCGUACGAGCCCGCAGAUGUUGUUGGGCAAGGCUGUUGGGCUGACUUGCUAGAUCAGGUGUUCGGCCUAGUUUUUCCCCCUUUUAUUGUGGAUCCACCAGAUUGGACCUCGAGAUGUGGGUUGAUCUUCGGGCCUUCCCCAUGAGCCUCGAUUGGCUCACCUGUAUGCUGUAGGUUGGGCCUAACGGGCCAGGUGGUGGGCUGGGUCGACUUGGGUCACCAGCCCAUGGGUAUCUCCCCUCCAUGCGACGUCUCAGACAUGCCACCGUCAUCUUCUAGGAUCAAUAUGAAAACCCACAACUUGUCGUCGUUGAUGCUUCUUUGGGCCGAUUGUCUCGGUGGCCCAUAAGGCUUCCCAGUCUUGAUUGCAUCUAUAAUCUAUCUUACUCAAUCUAAGCUUGAAUGAGCCGGAUCCUUGGGCUUCAUGGAAUUGGGUCUUGUCAUUGAAUCUCGACUCUGUUUCCUUGGUCCAGGCUUCUCUUGUUCCUUGUUUCCAAAUUGGCAUUAAAUCUGAUGGUUGCCUCCCAGGUAACUGGAACACCCUCCUGGGGUCACAUCAUCCUUCUUGCUUUCUUUUUCUCUCUCUAGACUUCUCUUUCACUCUCUAAAUUUUUUUAAAGUGGAAGAAUGGAAUAAAAAAAUGAAAAAUGAAGGGAAAAUGGAGAGAAAGGCCUCUUUAAAUAGCCAUGAAGAGACCUUGGAUAUCUGCCACAUGGCACAUAUCCAAAGGGGACACGUGACAAGAGUGGGUAACUGAUC
rnacentral:lncRNA from 1 species